GGGAGGAUGGAAAAGUGCAUUCGGGGUGGGGAGAGGAGAGGGGCACUUCCUUCACUCUCUUCAAAGGCUGCAGCAGCAGCGUAAUGAAUGAUCUAGUCAACUACAGAUGCAUUUUUGACAGCCUCGAUCCAUGCACCAUUUCUUGGAGCUUCCUUACAUAAGAAGAACUGAAGUUCCUAGAAGCCGAUGAAAUGUAGAUCCAAAAAUCAAUAAAUGGGGGAGCCUCCACUGGAUUUCAGUCACUGUUGCUCAAACAAUAAACUCUUCACAGCUCAUGAUGAUCCUAGGUUGACUUGAAGUCAGGGCUGCAAAGUGCCACUGAUGUGAAUGGAAACUUGGAGAAGGAUUCCAAACUUCAAAGACUUCUAGACUAACACCAUUCAACAGGAGGCCUGGUCCAAGUGUAUCAUUUUUGAAUGAUUCCUCUGUUAUUAGUUAAAUAAAUACAGUGCAAUCUUUGAA